GGUGGCUCAGUGGUAGAGUGCUUGCCUUGCAUGCACGAAGCCCUGGGUUCAAUUCCUCAGUACCA
rfam:Dipodomys ordii contig_54615, whole genome shotgun sequence.